rnacentral:rRNA from 1 species
GAUGAACGCUGGCGGCGUGCCUAAUACAUGCAAGUCGAGCGAACGGACGAGAAGCUUGCUUCUCUGAUGUUAGCGGCGGACGGGUGAGUAACACGUGGAUAACCUACCUAUAAGACUGGGAUAACUUCGGGAAACCGUAGCUAAUACCGGAUAAUAUUUUGAACCGCAUGGUUCAAAAGUGAAAGACGGUCUUGCUGUCACUUAUAGAUGGAUCCGCGCUGCAUUAGCUAGUUGGUAAGGUAACGGCUUACCAAGGCAACGAUGCAUAGCCGACCUGAGAGGGUGAUCGGCCACACUGGAACUGAGACACGGUCCAGACUCCUACGGGAGGCCGCAGUCGGGAAUCUUCCGCAAUGGGCGGAAGCCUGACGGAGCAACGCCGCGUGAGUGAUGAAGGUCUUCGGAUCGUAAAACUCUGUUAUUAGGGAAGAACAUAUGUGUAAGUAACUGUGCACAUCUUGACGGUACCUAAUCAGAAAGCCACGGCUAACUACGUG